CUCAUUAAACUACUUUAUUGAGUUUCUUGGACAUCGUCUCAUCAAAUGAUAUACGACCAAGCUUGCUCCCGACCAAGCACGCUCAGAUUCCUUGGGAGCUCCUGCUAUCGGCAGCCGUCGAUGCAUCGGAUCCCUGAGACGAAGAACAAAAACAGCAUGCCACCUGACUGAUGACCCACCCACUGUCUACCCGGACCCAGGAGCUAGAAGGCCUUGAGAAAAAAGCCCGGGCAGGAUCCUGACGGGCGCAGAAUAUCAUCUUCGAUGCUUGUCCCACGGCCUGACUGAAUAAUAUUUAUAUAAUCAAUGGAAGGAAAAAAACAGUAGAACAUUGAAAUUGGCUUGUAGGCAAGACGGAAGAUGGUCAAAACCGGUCAGAAAUUGAUGCCCUAGACACGGUUGGAGAGCUCUUGUUGGCAGAAACCACCUGAAUGGUGAAUCGUGGUGCUGAAUGAUGGUCAGGUGACAUUAGCAACCUUGUGGUGAAACAAUGAACUGGAGCGGCACCGAACUGAAAAAGUUGAAAAACUUGGCAUACAUACUAUGAGACCCAUUUGAUGACUGAUAUAAGCAAAGUUCAGACUGAUUAUUGUGAUAGUUGAUAACUAAGAAUACCUAAUAUGCUUUUAUGGUGUGUGAAAUAGUAUACUUUUUAUAAUUUAUUAAUUAAAAGUUUAAUAAAUGUUUUACUUACCUAAA